CUCGGUCUCUCUGUGUAUGUACAGGCCUAUACUCAUUUCUACUUCAAAUCAUUUUCAAUUUUUAUUUCCCACAUUUUAUUUAUAAUGUGAUGGUAAUUAUAUUGAACUUGAUGAAAAAAGGUUGUGCAUUGACAGCACCAUAAGGGGUAAGGCAACCUUUUUACACAACACAGUUGCCUUGGGCAUGAAUGUAGCGAUCUCAUAUAACCUGAG